AAGUAGUGGAGUUGGGCUCAGUCCUGGGGCUUGUCUGUCUGAUUCAAGAACUUGUUUUCUUCCCCCUAGACUCAAUCACCUUUCACUCAUUCAGCAACGUUUUACCAAGCCGUACUACAUGCCAGGUACUGUUCUAGGCACUAAGUGACGGUGAUGAAAAGACGAGGUCUAGCCCUGGAGAACAAGUGAGAGAGACGACAAUGAACAAGAAGUAAACAAUGAACCAAGAAGGUCAUUUUCAACAGAGAUAACAAUCGUGGACACCUAGAGACAUGACAGUGUUCGGGAGCGAGCACGCUUUCCACGUGCUUGAAUGUCAUCCUAGAGCAAGCUUUUAAAUGACUAUUGAGUGUCCUGUAGCAGGUUCUGGACAGUGUGCUCUGAGCUGGGGAUCCACAGUCAACCAGCACCCAGUGCCUGUCCUCCUGAGCCAGACAGAUGGGUGAUCUGUCUCUCACAGGCUCACUGGUGCUGGUGCCAUGGCUCUGGUUAGCGUGGGACCAAAGGAGCAGAUGGGUGCCGACCUUUCUGUGUGUCAUGGCAGGUGAGACAGUGGAGGUAAAGGAAGGGGUGAGGGAGGCAGUUUAAGCCAAGCAGGUAUUUGCAAGCCUCCCCCAUCUGCUAAUUUAACUGGGCUUUUUUCUCCUCAUCUGUAAAAUGGGAACAAUAAUAUGCACACAGAUUAAACUAGACACUAUGUUAAAAAGGAAAGGCUCACCUGCGUGUAUAGACCACACCUUCUUUAUCCAGUCACCCUUGAUGGACAGUUAGGUUGUUUCCACCUUGUGGCAAUUGUAACAUAAUGCCAGAGUGAAUGUGGGGGUGCAAAUUACUCAGUCUUAAAAAGGAAGGAAACCCUGUCAUAUGCUACAACAGGGAGGAACCUUGAGGACGUUACACUAAACGAGAUAAUCCAGUCACAGAAGGAUAAAUACGGCAUUAAUCCAUUUAUAAGAGGUAUCUAAACUAGUCCAGUGCUUUUUAGUGCAAGUAGAAAAUAGAAAGAUGCUUGCCAAGGGUUGCUAGGGGAAAUGAGGGGGGUCGCUGUUCAAUGCAUCUCAUACAAGAUGAAAGUCACACAAGAUGAAAAAGUUGCAGAGAGCUGCUCUACAGCAAAGCGCAGAUACAGCUCACACGACUGUACUCUCAAAAAUUGUCAAGAGGACAGAUUUCAUGUUAUGUCUGUCAUCACAACAACAACAACAAAAAAGAUAAAGGGCUUAAGCAAAUAAUACUAUAUAUUCUUUAUGAAUAUUUACGUUGGUAGUUAAGU